CCCGGCACUGAUUCGAGAUCUCGCCGGCUUGCUUCACUGAACCUACAACUGACGCAACCUCGGGCUAUUGCGAGGUGACGUGCAUACCUCGCCGCGCCACCCUAAGCAGUCGUCUCCCAGGUAGCUGAGGUGCCUCUUCCCUCCCGAGGAAUAAGGAUUUAUAGCAGUGGUGUCCAUCUUCCUUCGUCUCGCAUAAUUCUCGGCGUGCGCGUGUCCCGUGAUUCAGCGAGCACAGGUAAUCCCGGUUGAUUAAGAGGGAGAGCAGCCAGGUAACGUGCAGCCCGAGGUGCUUUGGGAGGCGGCCAGCGUCUGUGUUAUUGGCGGCGAUUUGAGCUAAAAACAACACCAGUCAAGGCUGUCUGUGUGUCUGUCUGGCGCUAACGGGAGUGAGGAGGAGGCUACAAAAAGGGGAACUAAAGAAUGAUCAUACUUACCUCACUGAAGACUGCAUCAUCAGGGCAUCUGGCUGGCGCCUGUUUGUGUAAGUGUGUCUCGGGCGGCAUCACGACCUCUUACUCACAGGGUAGGCGGUGGCUGAAGUGGUAGCGUGUUGGGCCCAUAUUCACCGCGUGAUGGACGACACGAGUUCGAAUCCCCACGUUACCACCUCGGAUUUUUCAGUCACCGCCGAGUGGCUUAAAACUACCCACAUGCUGUCCUGAAGACCAUCCAUGAACCCGGACUCUAGAGGAAACCGUCCAAGAAUCAAGAACGAGUUCCGGGGGGCAGCAUGAGCCAAGAAAAGAUGGCGGCACUAUAAACACUUGCCUGCGCCAUGACGGGCUAGGGCCGAAUACCAUCCAGGCCCCUCAAGCGAGCCUACCGGCGCAAUAGGCGGAGACGUAAAAAAAAAAAAAAUUAAAGAAAAAUGUGAAGAAUUGGAGAAUGGAAAGCAGAGAGAGGUAGAAGGAAGGUGAAAGACAGAUGGACAACUGGUGUUAUUCCAUGUCUUUCUCCUAAUUUUACUUUUUUUUUGUUCUAGAUUUUUAGAUUGAGGAAAAAGCACGGUGCAGGUGAAAGAAAGGUGAAAGGUGGACGGACAGUUGCUGAGGCCAUUACAUUCUUCUUCCCUAAUCGUUCCUUCCGCUUCCUGACAGUCUUUAAGCCAACUUGUUUUUCAGUGCUCUUUUCUAACACUGGGAGGUGGAUAAACAGUUGAAGCCAUUCUAUUUUUUUCCCCUAAUUGUUUUCUCCGCUUCCUAAUAUCUUUUCUAAGCCAUUUUCUCUUCAGUGCCUCUUUUAUCUCCUCUUCUAAAACACACACACACACACACACACACACACACACACACACACACACACACACACACACACACACACACACACACACACACACACACACACACACACACACACACACACACACACACACACACACACACACACACACACACACACACAUACACACACACACAGAGUCAUGUGCAAUAACACCUUUGUUCAGCGGCGACGACUACAAAUGCCUCA